rnacentral:tRNA from 1 species
AGCUGGGAGAGCGCCUGCUUUGCACGCAGGAGGUCAGCGGUUCGAUCCCGCUAGGCUCCA